UACCCUCGGGAAACUGAGAAUAAUACUCCAUAGAUCCUAAACUGCCUGGAAUGCUUUAGAUUGAAAGAUUUAUCGCCUAAGGAUAAGUCUGCGGACUAUCAGGUUGUAGUUAGGGUAAAUACCUGACUAGCCUACGACGGAUACGGGUAGUGAGAGCUUUAGCCCGGAGAUGAUAUCUGAGACACGAUAUCAGGCCCUACGGGGCGCAGCAGGCGCGAAAACUUCGCACUGUGCGAAAGCACGACGAGGGAAUCCCAAGUGCUGGCUCGUAAGAGUCAGCUGUUUUUCUGUCUAAAAAACAGGGAGAGUAAGAGCUGGGUAAGACGGGUGCCAGCCGCCGCGGUAAUACCUGCAGCUCAAGUGGUGGCCGCUAUUAUUGGGCCUAAAACGUCCGUAGCCGGUUUCAUAAAUGCCUGGGCAAAUCAUACGGCUUAACCGUAUGAAUUCCGGGUAGACUGUUUAACUUGAGACCGGGAGAGGCUAGAGGUACUCCUGGGGUAGAGGUGAAAUUCUGUAAUCCUAGGGGGACCACCAGUGGCGAAGGCGUCUAGCUAGAACGGGUCUGACGGUGAGGGACGAAGCCCUGGGGAGCAAACGGGAUUAGAUACCCCGGUAGUCCAGGGUGUAAACGCUGCUCGCUUGAUGUUAGUCGGGCUCCGAGCCCAACUAGUGUC
rnacentral:rRNA from 1 species